rnacentral:rRNA from 1 species
CAGCCGCCACGGUAAUACGAAGGGUGCAAGCGUUAAUCGGAAUUACUGGGCGUAGAGCGUGCGUAGGCGGUGAGUUAAGUCUGCUGUGAAAUCCCCGGGCUCAACCUGGGAAUGGCAGUGGAUACUGGCUCGCUAGAGUGUGUCAGAGGAUGGUGGAAUUCCCGGUGUAGCGGUGAAAUGCGUAGAGAUCGGGAGGAACAUCAGUGGCGAAGGCGGCCAUCUGGGACAACACUGACGCUGAGGCACGAAAGCGUGGGGAGCAAACAGGAUUAGAUACCCCCGUAGUCCCUGUCUCUUAUAC